rnacentral:rRNA from 1 species
GAUGAACGCUGGCGGCGUGCCUAAUACAUGCAAGUCGAGCGAACAGACGAGGAGCUUGCUCCUCUGACGUUAGCGGCGGACGGGUGAGUAACACGUGGAUAACCUACCUAUAAGACUGGGAUAACUUCGGGAAACCGGAGCUAAUACCGGAUAAUAUAUUGAACCGCAUGGUUCAAUAGUGAAAGACGGUUUUGCUGUCACUUAUAGAUGGAUCCGCGCCGCAUUAGCUAGUUGGUAAGGUAACGGCUUACCAAGGCGACGAUGCGUAGCCGACCUGAGAGGGUGAUCGGCCACACUGGAACUGAGACACGGUCCAGACUCCUACGGGAGGCAGCCGUAGGGAAUCUUCCGCAAUGGGCGAAAGCCUGACGGAGCAACGCCGCGUGAGUGAUGAAGGUCUUCGGAUCGUAAAACUCUGUUAUUAGGGAAGAACAAAUGUGUAAGUAACUAUGCACGUCUUGACGGUACCUAAUCAGAAAGCCACGGCUAACUACGUG